rnacentral:rRNA from 1 species
GACGAACGCUGGCGGCGUGCCUAAUACAUGCAAGUCGAAGCUAGUUGCGAACGGGUGAGUAAUGUCUCGGAACGUGCCCAGUAGCGGGGGAUAACUACGCGAAAGCGUAGCUAAUACCGCAUACUCUUGGAGCUGCCGAUAUCGGAUUAGCUAGUGGGUGGGGUAACGGCUCACCAAGGCGCCGAUCCGUAGCUGGGUUGAGAGGACGACCAGCCACACGGGGACUGAGACACGGUCCAGACUCCUACGGGAGGAAGCAGUGGGGAAUAUUGGACAAUGGGGGAAACCCUGAUCCAGCCAUCCCGCGUGUGCGAAGAAGGCCUUCGGGUUGUAAAGCACUUUUGGCAGGAAAGCGGUACCUGCAGAAUAAGCACCGGCUAACUACGUGCCAGCAGCCGCGGUAAUAC